GAUGAACGCUGGCGGCGUGCCUAAUACAUGCAAGUCGAGCGAACAGAUAAGGAGCUUGCUCCUUUGACGUUAGCGGCGGACGGGUGAGUAACACGUGGGUAACCUACCUAUAAGACUGGGAUAACUUCGGGAAACCGGAGCUAAUACCGGAUAAUAUUUCGAACCGCAUGGUUCGAUAGUGAAAGAUGGUUUUGCUAUCACCUAUAGAUGGACCCGCGCCGUAUUAGCUAGUUGGUAAGGUAACGGCUUACCAAGGCGACGAUACGUAGCCGACCUGAGAGGGUGAUCGGCCACACUGGAACUGAGACACGGUCCAGACUCCUACGGGAGGCAGCAGUAGGGAAUCUUCCGCAAUGGGCGAAAGCCUGACGGAGCAACGCCGCGUGAGUGAUGAAGGUCUUCGGAUCGUAAAACUCUGUUAUUAGGGAAGAACAUACGUGUAAGUAACUGUGCACGUCUUGACGGUACCUAAUCAGAAAGCCACGGCUAACUACGUG
rnacentral:rRNA from 1 species